rnacentral:rRNA from 1 species
GGUAUCAGAAGUGCGAAUGCUGACAUAAGUAACGAUAAAGCGGGUGAAAAGCCCGCUCGCCGGAAGACCAAGGGUUCCUGUCCAACGUUAAUCGGGGCAGGGUGAGUCGACCCCUAAGGCGAGGCCGAAAGGCGUAGUCGAUGGGAAACAGGUUAAUAUUCCCGUACUUGGUGUUACUGCGAAGGGGGGACGGAGAAGGCUAUGUUGGCCGGGCGACGGUUGUCCCGGUUUAAGCGUGUAGGUGUGUGUUCCAGGUAAAUCCGGUUCACUUUAACACUGAGGCGUGACGACGAGGCACUACGGUGCUGAAGCAACAAAUGCCCUGCUUCCAGGAAAAGCCUCUAAGCAUCAGGUAACAUCAAAUCGUACCCCAAACCGACACAGGUGGUCAGGUAGAGAAUACCAAGGCGCUUGAGAGAACUCGGGUGAAGGAACUAGGCAAAAUGGUGCCGUAACUUCGGGAGAAGGCACGCUGACACGUAGGUGAAGUGAUUUACUCAUGGAGCUGAAGUCAGUCGAAGAUACCAGCUGGCUGCAACUGUUUAUUAAAAACACAGCACUGUGCAAACACGAAAGUGGACGUAUACGGUGUGACGCCUGCCCGGUGCCGGAAGGUUAAUUGAUGGGGUCAGCGCAAGCGAAGCUCCUGAUCGAAGCCCCGGUAAACGGCGGCCGUAACUAUAACGGUCCUAAGGUAGCGAAAUUCCUUGUCGGGUAAGUUCCGACCUGCACGAAUGGCGUAAUGAUGGCCAGGCUGUCUCCACCCGAGACUCAGUGAAAUUGAACUCGCUGUGAAGAUGCAGUGUACCCGCGGCAAGACGGAAAGACCCCGUGAACCUUUACUAUAGCUUGACACUGAACAUUGAGCCUUGAUGUGUAGGAUAGGUGGGAGGCUUUGAAGCGUGGACGCCAGUCUGCGUGGAGCCGACCUUGAAAUACCACCCUUUAAUGUUUGAUGUUCUAACGUGGACCCGUAAUCCGGGUUGCGGACAGUGUCUGGUGGGUAGUUUGACUGGGGCGGUCUCCUCCUAAAGAGUAACGGAGGAGCACGAAGGUUGGCUAAUCCUGGUCGGACAUCAGGAGGUUAGUGCAAUGGCAUAAGCCAGCUUGACUGCGAGCGUGACGGCGCGAGCAGGUGCGAAAGCAGGUCAUAGUGAUCCGGUGGUUCUGAAUGGAAGGGCCAUCGCUCAACGGAUAAAAGGUACUCCGGGGAUAACAGGCUGAUACCGCCCAAGAGUUCAUAUCGACGGCGGUGUUUGGCACCUCGAUGUCGGCUCAUCACAUCCUGGGGCUGAAGUAGGUCCCAAGGGUAUGGCUGUUCGCCAUUUAAAGUGGUACGCGAGCUGGGUUUAGAACGUCGUGAGACAGUUCGGUCCCUAUCUGCCGUGGGCGCUGGAGAACUGAGGGGGGCUGCUCCUAGUACGAGAGGACCGGAGUGGACGCAUCACUGGUGUUCGGGUUGUCAUGCCAAUGGCACUGCCCGGUAGCUAAAUGCGGAAGAGAUAAGUGCUGAAAGCAUCUAAGCACGAAACUUGCCCCGAGAUGAGUUCU